GGGCGGUUAGCUCAACUGGUUAGAGCACUUGAUUUACAUUCAAGGGGUUAGAGGUUCGAGUCCUCUACCGCCCA
rnacentral:tRNA from 1 species